CAACCCUCGAGCCCCUCCGGGGGAUCGGUGUUGGGGACCGGCACCCCCGCUGUUCCACAGCGGCUGCCGCCCCCGAAAUGCAGUGGCGGCCUCGCCGCAGCCUCCUAUGCGCAGUAGCUUGCAAAACUCGCAUCCUGGAGCGCGGUGCGGCCACAGCCGUUAAACCCCCCAAUUAUUUCAAAU
rnacentral:misc_RNA from 1 species